rnacentral:piRNA from 1 species
AUCAAUGAGAUCCGUCAGAUGUCUGGGGC